AACGAACGCUGGCGGCAUGCCUAACACAUGCAAGUCGAACGAGACCUUCGGGUCUAGUGGCGCACGGGUGCGUAACGCGUGGGAACCUGCCCUUAGGUUCGGAAUAACUCCCCGAAAGGGGUGCUAAUACCGGAUAAUGUCUUCGGACCAAAGAUUUAUCGCCUUUGGAUGGGCCCGCGUUGGAUUAGCUAGUUGGUAGGGUAAAAGCCUACCAAGGCGACGAUCCAUAGCUGGUCUGAGAGGAUGAUCAGCCACACUGGGAGUGGGACACGGCCCAGACUCCUACGGGAGGCAGCAGUGGGGAAUAUUGGACAAUGGGCGGAAGCCUGAUGCAGCAAUGCCGCGUGAGUGAUGAAGGCCUUAGGGUUGUAAAGCUCUUUUACCCGGGAUGAUAAUGACGGUACCGGGAGAAUAAGCACCGGCUAACUCCGUG
rnacentral:rRNA from 1 species